rnacentral:tRNA from 1 species
CGUUGUUGGCGUAACGGUAACGCUUCGCCUUGCACAGGCGAACGCCGUCAAUGAUCGACGCAUGGUUCAACGC